GGGGCCGUGGUCUAACCUGGUAUGAUGCUACCUUGGGGUGGUAGUGGUUCCCAGUUCAAAUCUGGGCGGCCCCA
rnacentral:tRNA from 1 species